rnacentral:lncRNA from 1 species
UCCAGUGGGUCGCUAUCCCCAGACUUUAUUUGUCUCCUUGGCACAGUAGAGCUGUUAUUGACAUCCCCAUUGCAGUCGCGAGCAGAGUUGUUGUCACUCUCCCCAGCGCAGUUGCCAGCGGAUUUAUCUGUUUUCUCAGCACGGUCGCUUUCCUUUUGAAAGACUCGGUAAGUCAGUGGUUUGAUACCCGGUACUUUAC